rnacentral:precursor_RNA from 14 species
CUACCUUCAGUCACAUAGUGUGUGAUGUAUCACUUCAGGAUGUACCACCCAUUUAAUGGAAAAUAUGAUUGGUACUUCUUUAAGUGAGAUAAUGCACACUAACUGCCACGUCAAUACU